rnacentral:rRNA from 1 species
GGGAAACCGGGGCUAAUACCGGAUGAGCCCUUCGGGGGAAAGAUUUAUCGGGAAAGGAUGAGCCCGCGUUGGAUUAGCUAGUUGGUGGGGUAAAGGCCUACCAAGGCGACGAUCCAUAGCUGGUCUGAGAGGAUGAUCAGCCACAUUGGGACUGAGACACGGCCCAAACUCCUACGGGAGGCAGCAGUGGGGAAUAUUGGACAAUGGGCGCAAGCCUGAUCCAGCCAUGCCGCGUGAGUGAUGAAGGCCCUAGGGUUGUAAAGCUCUUUCAGCACAGACGAAGCGCAAGUGACGGUAUGUGCAGAAGAAGGACCGGCCAACUACGUGCCAGCAGCCGCGGUAAUA